GACGAACGCUGGCGGCGUGCUUAACACAUGCAAGUCGAACGGAAAGGCCCUGCUUUCGUGGGGUGCUCGAGUGGCGAACGGGUGAGUAACACGUGAGUAACCUGCCCUUGACUUUGGGAUAACUUCAGGAAACUGGAGCUAAUACCGGAUAGGAGCUCCCGCUGCAUGGUGGGGGUUGGAACGUCUCGGCGGUUGGGGAUGGACUCGCGGGUUAUGAGCUUGUUGGUGGGGUAGUGGCUUACCAAGGGUUUGACGGGUAGCCGGCCUGGGAGGGGGGCCGGCGACAUGGGGACUGAGAGACGGCCCAGAGUCGUACGGGAGGCAGCAGGGGGGAGUAUUGCACAGUGGGCGGGAGCCUGAUGCAGAAACGCCGCGUGCGGGAUGACGGCCUUCGGGUUGUAAACCGCUUUCGCCUGUGACGAAGCGUGAGUGACGGUAAUGGGUAAAGAAGCACCGGCUAACUACGUG
rnacentral:rRNA from 1 species